AUCCGGUUCACUUUAACACUGAGGCGUGAUGACGAGGCACUACGGUGCUGAAGCAACAAAUGCCCUGCUUCCAGGAAAAGCCUCUAAGCAUCAGGUAACAUCAAAUCGUACCCCAAACCGACACAGGUGGUCAGGUAGAGAAUACCAAGGCGCUUGAGAGAACUCGGGUGAAGGAACUAGGCAAAAUGGUGCCGUAACUUCGGGAGAAGGCACGCUGACAUGUAGGUGAAGUGAUUUACUCAUGGAGCUGAAGUCAGUCGAAGAUACCAGCUGGCUGCAACUGUUUAUUAAAAACACAGCACUGUGCAAACACGAAAGUGGACGUAUACGGUGUGACGCCUGCCCGGUGCCGGAAGGUUAAUUGAUGGGGUCAGCGCAAGCGAAGCUCCUGAUCGAAGCCCCGGUAAACGGCGGCCGUAACUAUAACGGUCCUAAGGUAGCGAAAUUCCUUGUCGGGUAAGUUCCGACCUGCACGAAUGGCGUAAUGAUGGCCAGGCUGUCUCCACCCGAGACUCAGUGAAAUUGAACUCGCUGUGAAGAUGCAGUGUACCCGCGGCAAGACGGAAAGACCCCGUGAACCUUUACUAUAGCUUGACACUGAACAUUGAGCCUUGAUGUGUAGGAUAGGUGGGAGGCUUUGAAGCGUGGACGCCAGUCUGCGUGGAGCCGACCUUGAAAUACCACCCUUUAAUGUUUGAUGUUCUAACGUGGAUCCGUAAUCCGGGUUGCGGACAGUGUCUGGUGGGUAGUUUGACUGGGGCGGUCUCCUCCUAAAGAGUAACGGAGGAGCACGAAGGUUGGCUAAUCCUGGUCGGACAUCAGGAGGUUAGUGCAAUGGCAUAAGCCAGCUUGACUGCGAGCGUGACGGCGCGAGCAGGUGCGAAAGCAGGUCAUAGUGAUCCGGUGGUUCUGAAUGGAAGGGCCAUCGCUCAACGGAUAAAAGGUACUCCGGGGAUAACAGGCUGAUACCGCCCAAGAGUUCAUAUCGACGGCGGUGUUUGGCACCUCGAUGUCGGCUCAUCACAUCCUGGGGCUGAAGUAGGUCCCAAGGGUAUGGCUGUUCGCCAUUUAAAGUGGUACGCGAGCUGGGUUUAGAACGUCGUGAGACAGUUCGGUCCCUAUCUGCCGUGGGCGCUGGAGAACUGAGGGGGGCUGCUCCUAGUACGAGAGGACCGGAGUGGACGCAUCACUGGUGUUCGGGUUGUCAUGCCAAUGGCACUGCCCGGUAGCUAAAUGCGGAAGAGAUAAGUGCUGAAAGCAUCUAAGCACGAAACUUGCCCCGA
rnacentral:rRNA from 1 species